rnacentral:misc_RNA from 1 species
AGAAGAGCAGAAAGGGUCUAGAAGAAGCUUAUGAAAAGUAUGUUACAACUCCUUAGUUAGAGAGCUACUCCUAUAGUAUCAAUCAUGGCUAUGAUGGACAAUGCAGGUUUCCUUCUGGCUCACAUUCGAAACUCAUUCAUUACAAGUGAUGAUACUGGAAUGUGUGAGUUGAUAAUUGAAAAUGAUGAAACAGACAGAGAAAGCAAAAAAGUUUCCAGGUUAGAUGGAUCCUUCACCGAUAGCGGCGCAGAAUUCUCAGAUCAUGAACUAUCUACGUCUUACGAUAUUCUUCCAGACAUGGGAUAUGGACACAGACUGAGAUCUAACACUGCACAGAGACUGGAGAGGUUAAAGAAAGAGAAGAAAAGUCAACGAAAGGUCAAAAACAUAUCAUGGCGAGACUGCCCAUCAGAUUACACAGCUGAAGAUAAAGGGCACCUGUUUGAAAAGAAAUCUCUGCCAUACCCAGAUUCUGAUCCAGGGGAGCUGUCAAAAGCUUCCAAAUUAUCGCAGCAAAUUGAGAAUUAUGCCAGUUCAGGAGAAAACCGAUUUCUGGAAUAUGCAAAGUUUGAUGGAAGGGCCAGUGUUGGAACUCCAACUAAGAAGAUUGAUAUAUUUUUGACCAUGUGCCCUCCUGGAGAGAGGGAGUAUCCUAUUACAGUCAUUGUUGUGGCAUCAGCCAAAAUCCAUGAUUUGAUUGGCCUAAUUUGCUGGCAGUACACAAAUGAAGGAAGGGAACCUAAACUUAAUGAAAACAUAGAGAUGUACUGUCUCCACAUUGCUGAAGAUGAUGGUGAGGUGGACACAGAUUUUCCAAGUUUAGACAAUAGAGAACCAGUGUCCAAGUUUGGUUUCUCAAAGCUGGCUCUGGUAGAAAAAGACAUUCCUCCACCUGCAAACAACCGCUCCACACACGUGGUUACAGUAUAUGUUCCAAACAGAGGCUUCAACAAAUUCCAAGUGGAAAACAUGAACACAACUAUUCGAGAAAUUUUACAGAGGGUAUUAAAACGAAGAAAAGUUAAAAUAAGGCCAGGUAUGAUGCAGUAAUACAAAUUACAUUUAAUAUACACAUUACAUUAAAAGUGAUUCUCAAAAAGCAGAUUUGUUAGAUCCAACUGUUGCUCAUUUGCCAUGAAUAUAGAGAUACCUGUGCUUGUAAUAGGUUUUGAUUUUGUAUGUAGGUCAGCAGUACAACAUUGAGAAACAGAGCGAGCCCGGGGUGUCAUUAGAGCUCGAUGCUACACUGGCCAGUAUGGACACACUAGAGUUCUGCCUGGUCCGUGAAAACAGUACUCGUGGUGAGUUUGAGGAGGAACGGGACGGGGAUGUGUCAACGAUAGCGGACUCACUGACCAGCCAUCAGUACAAGAGUUACAUCGUCAACAUGAUUCAUCGACUCAGGACCAACACGGAGGUCCAACUAGGAAUAAGUGGGGAAAAGAUUGAGAUUGAUCCAGUGGGCACUAAAGGCUCAGUCAAGUUCCUGAGGCAGAAGGCUGCUACAUAUUUAGCAGACACCAUAGCCUCAGCAGACAUCAUAGAAGAUAAAAAUGGUAAAUCUGUGUUCCGCCUGACCUAUUUCACAGACAAGGACAGCUAUAAGCACCACGACUUUGAGGCUGAUGAUGACGUUGCUCAUGAAAUAGUGCAAAAAAUCAAAAACAUUCUGGAAAUGAGACUGAGUCCUGUCCGAAAAGAUUACAUGGCCACCAAGGAGCGAAAACUGAAGAAACGCGAGUCACUAAAAUUUAGUUAGCAAAUACACCGUAAUAUUACCAUUCAUCAGUUUCCUCAGGUGCAAUUGUUUUUGGAAAUACAUAUGCAUAUGGCAUGUUUAUAUAGGUAAUAUAUGUGUAUUGAAAUCAGAAAGCAUAUUAAAGGAUCUCACAUUU